UACGGAGGGUGCAAGCGUUAUCCGGAUUCACUGGGUUUAAAGGGAGCGUAGGUGGGUUGGUAAGUCAGUGGUGAAAUCCCCGAGCUUAACUUGGGAACUGCCAUUGAUACUAUCAGUCUUGAAUACUGUGGAGGUUAGCGGAAUAUGUCAUGUAGCGGUGAAAUGCUUAGAUAUGACAUAGAAUACCAAUUGCGAAGGCAGCUGGCUACGCGAAUAUUGACACUCAGGCACGAAAGCGUGGGGAUCAAACAGG
rnacentral:rRNA from 1 species